GCUCAAAUUUAAAAUCUGGCGGUCUUUGGCCGUCCGAGUUGUAGUCUGGAGAAGCGUUUUCCGCGUUGGACCGUGUACAAGUCUCUUGGAACAGAGCGUCAUAGAGGGUGAGAAUCCCGUCUUUGACACGGACUACCAAUGCUUUGUGAUGCGCUCUCAAAGAGUCGCGUUGUUUGGGAAUGCAGCGCAAAAUGGGAGGUGAAUUCCUUCUAAAGCUAAAUAUUGGCGAGAGACCGAUAGCGAACAAGUACCGUGAGGGAAAGAUGAAAAGCACUUUGGAAAGAGAGUUAAACAGUACGUGAAAUUGCUGAAAGGGAAACGCUUGAAGUCAGUCGCGUCGUCCGGAACUCAGCCUUGCUUCGGCUUGGUGCACUUUCCGGAUGACGGGCCAGCAUCGAUUUUGACCGCUGGAAAAGGGCUGGAGGAAUGUGGCACCUUCGGGUGUGUUAUAGCCUUCAGUCGCAUACAGCGGUUGGGAUCGAGGAACGCAGCACGCCUUAUGGCUGGGGUUCGCCCACAUUCGUGCUUAGGAUGCUGGCAUAAUGGCUUUAAACGACCCGUCUUGA
rnacentral:rRNA from 1 species